GGUAUUUCAACCAUUAUCAAAGCCACCAUGGGAUGCGUUUUAGACGCAACGACUUAGGCAUCACGGUGGUUGUGUCGGCCGGCCGGAAACUCGCUAGCCCUAGUGGUGGUUGUGGAUGAUCUACCCGAGGAAGGGAUGCCUUUCUCUAGAUUUGGGCUUGGAAUUUUUUUGUUUCUAUUUUCUUUUGUUUAUUUUUUAUUCUAAUUAUUUUAUUUAUGAAUUUUGCUUUGGAGGGUUACUCCCUCCACCACCACACAUUGCUCCCUACAACUCCCCAUUUCCAUUUUAUCCUACAGCUAAACAUUUUUUCUCAUGAGGGUUGACGUAAACGCAUUUCUCACCCCCUCACUUUUUUAAAAGCCAAAUUCUUCAGCCUUCGACUCACUUUUUUAAAACUCUAAUUUUGAAAUCUCC
rnacentral:lncRNA from 1 species